GUAAGCAGAACUCGAGUGGUUGAGUGUCUCCCUUUUAAGGAGAAAGUCUUGGUUCAAAUCCAAGUGCUUUCA
rnacentral:tRNA from 1 species